rnacentral:misc_RNA from 1 species
GAUGAAGAACGUAGCAAAAUGCGAUAAGUAAUGUGAAUUGCAGAAUUCAGUGAAUCAUCGAAUCUUUGAACGCACAUUGCGCCCGCCAGUAUUCUGGCGGGCAUGCCUGUUCGAGCGUCAUUUCAACCCUCAAGCACAGCUUGGUGUUGGGACUCGCGUUAAUUCGCGUUCCCCAAAUUGAUUGGCGGUCACGUCGAGCUUCCAAAGCGUAGUAGUAAAACCCUCGUUACUGGUAAUCGUCGCGGCCACGCCGUUAAACCCCAACUUCUGAAUGUUGACCUCGGAUCAGGUAGGAAUACCCGCUGAACUUAAGCAUAUCAAUAAGCGGAGGA